rnacentral:rRNA from 1 species
UACGGAGGGUGCAAGCGUUAAUCGGAAUUACUGGGCGUAAAGCGCACGCAGGCGGUUUGUUAAGUCAGAUGUGAAAUCCCCGGGCUCAACCUGGGAACUGCAUUUGAAACUGGCAAGCUAGAGUCUGGUAGAGGGUGGUAGAAUUCCCGGUGUAGCGGUGAAAUGCGUAGAGAUCUGGAGGAAUACCAGCGGCGAAGGCGGCCCCCUGGACGAAGACUGACGCUCAGGUGCGAAAGCGUGGGGAGCAAACAGG